CCCUUGUCUAUUAGCUCCCCCCAGUGUGUCGAAAAAUAAAAAUAUCCUCGGAGGAUCUGGACCUCAACGAGGCCCUCUACGAUCUACCCUCCUUAAAGCCACCACAGAAAGCUCAAAGAACUGGCAAAACUGGACCAGUGACUACGGAGAUAUUGAAAACCAUGCUGGGUGAUCUACAGAAGGUCCUCCAGACAUGGUGCAACUUUGUGUGGAUCUCACAGGCCUGGUCAGCCGCAUUGGGAUAGUGGAAAAUACCACUAUGCAACAUACCCAAGCCACUGCUGAGCUACAACAUGAGGUACAGACACUUAAGUUUCAGCAGGCCAAGAAUGAACUGCGCUUUGAAACACUCAAGGACCUAAGGACGACACAGAUAUUUAAAGAGCCAUGGAGUGAUGGAGAACAUCCCUCUAGAAGAACUCCCACACCCAAUGCUGAGGUUGAUUGGAGCACAACUGGCACCCAUACAAGCCAAGAACAUCAACAUAGAAGCAAUAUUCCGAAUACCCAAGCCCUGGAGAGCACCUGUGUCGGCUCCCAGAGACCUUGUGGUGAGGUUCCGCAACACGACAGACAAGAUGGCGUUGCUCGCUGUUUAUAAAGAGAACACCCCAUAUAACUUGGAAAGCAUGCCUCUGUCCCUCUAUGCAGAUAUAUAUCGGGUGACACACUACAGUGGAGACGGUCCCUUCAACCUUUCACAUAAAAUACCGUUGGUGCUCACCAUGAACACUACAAGUCCUACACUCAAACAACCCACGCCAUCUCGGACAUACAGGAAGCAGUCACCCUGUUACAGACAGACACUCUGCCUACUCGCAUCCUCACUUCAAAAAAGGUCUUCCAGGAGCCACCACCACUGGGACCCGACAAGAAUCAUUACAUUAGUCCCAAAAGGAGCGACAUCCGAUACACUUGCGCCAGUUACCCCCUGAAUUUUGGGAUGCUCAACCUCAUUACCCACCUUUUGAGAAGAGUGACUAAAUUACUAGCGAUUUGAAGUUACUUAAAAUUGUAUUUUUGGAAACCUUUUCUUUUAGUUUAUCAACCAAACUCUUAAUACCAAGUUAAAUGCUUUAAAUCCAGGUCGCCCAUAGGGGAGCUGCACUCCUCCUAACCCGUAAGAGACCCAGCGUAAGGGCCAAAGUCAAAACUAGUCUGGCACUAUGCCUGCUGCUUAGUGUAAUCAAAGAAGGGCAUGUCUCUUUUCCAACAAACAGUAGGUAGAUAGAACCAAACAGAGCAGUCACCACAAUUAUAAAGAUUGUAUAUACUUAAAUAUGUUUUUGUCAGUUUUAUUUUGUGUGUUAAUACUCAUGACCUAUAUAGAAAGUACAUCAUCAGCUCAGCUUAUUUAGCUUGACCUCUUUCUCCUGACAUAUUUAUGCUGAGCAUGUUUACAGUCUUAACAAUAUUACCCCAUAUGUCAGUUGCCAGUUCCCUUACAGGCUCGUUCAACUCGAUUUUUUUUAAGACAAUAAACAAAGAGCCAAUUUCCAGAAUGCCACAUUAAUAUCUUAAUUCGGUGUCUCGAACAGGCCUGAUAUUGCUGUUGUGGCAAGACCAGCUGUGUUAUAUAUGCACAAUAAAAAAAAUAAAAAAUAAUAAUGAAACAGGUUAAUAUUAAAAAUAAGAAAAAAAAUUAAAAUAUGUAGCAUGGACAUGCAGUGCCAGAACAUUCC